rfam:Trichobilharzia regenti genome assembly, scaffold: TRE_scaffold0101970
AUACAGGGGACGAGUCCCAAAUAGGACGCAAUGCGCAUCCUGGAU